GGCUCAGGACGAACGCUGGCGGCGUGCCUAAUACAUGCAAGUCGAACGAACUCUGGUAUUGAUUGGUGCUUGCAUCAUGAUUUACAUUUGAGUGAGUGGCGAACUGGUGAGUAACACGUGGGAAACCUGCCCAGAAGCGGGGGAUAACACCUGGAAACAGAUGCUAAUACCGCAUAACAACUUGGACCGCAUGGUCCGAGUUUGAAAGAUGGCUUCGGCUAUCACUUUUGGAUGGUCCCGCGGCGUAUUAGCUAGAUGGUGGGGUAACGGCUCACCAUGGCAAUGAUACGUAGCCGACCUGAGAGGGUAAUCGGCCACAUUGGGACUGAGACACGGCCCAAACUCCUACGGGAGGCAGCAGUAGGGAAUCUUCCACAAUGGACGAAAGUCUGAUGGAGCAACGCCGCGUGAGUGAAGAAGGGUUUCGGCUCGUAAAACUCUGUUGUUAAAGAAGAACAUAUCUGAGAGUAACUGUUCAGGUAUUGACGGUAUUUAACCAGAAAGCCACGGCUAACUACGUGCCAGCAGCCGCGGUAAUACGUAGGUGGCAAGCGUUGUCCGGAUUUAUUGGGCGUAAAGCGAGCGCAGGCGGUUUUUUAAGUCUGAUGUGAAAGCCUUCGGCUCAACCGAAGAAGUGCAUCGGAAACUGGGAAACUUGAGUGCAGAAGAGGACAGUGGAACUCCAUGUGUAGCGGUGAAAUGCGUAGAUAUAUGGAAGAACACCAGUGGCGAAGGCGGCUGUCUGGUCUGUAACUGACGCUGAGGCUCGAAAGUAUGGGUAGCAAACAGGAUUAGAUACCCUGGUAGUCCAUACCGUAAACGAUGAAUGCUAAGUGUUGGAGGGUUUCCGCCCUUCAGUGCUGCAGCUAACGCAUUAAGCAUUCCGCCUGGGGAGUACGGCCGCAAGGCUGAAACUCAAAGGAAUUGACGGGGGCCCGCACAAGCGGUGGAGCAUGUGGUUUAAUUCGAAGCUACGCGAAGAACCUUACCAGGUCUUGACAUACUAUGCAAAUCUAAGAGAUUAGACGUUCCCUUCGGGGACAUGGAUACAGGUGGUGCAUGGUUGUCGUCAGCUCGUGUCGUGAGAUGUUGGGUUAAGUCCCGCAACGAGCGCAACCCUUAUUAUCAGUUGCCAGCAUUAAGUUGGGCACUCUGGUGAGACUGCCGGUGACAAACCGGAGGAAGGUGGGGAUGACGUCAAAUCAUCAUGCCCCUUAUGACCUGGGCUACACACGUGCUACAAUGGAUGGUACAACGAGUUGCGAACUCGCGAGAGUAAGCUAAUCUCUUAAAGCCAUUCUCAGUUCGGAUUGUAGGCUGCAACUCGCCUACAUGAAGUCGGAAUCGCUAGUAAUCGCGGAUCAGCAUGCCGCGGGUGAAUACGUUCC
rnacentral:rRNA from 2 species